GGAAUUUAGCUCAGUGGUAGAGCGCUUGCCUAGCAAGCAGAAGACCCUGGGUUCGGUCCCCAGCUCCG
rnacentral:tRNA from 1 species